rnacentral:piRNA from 1 species
UCUGAAUUUCUGAUGCACAGACACUGUGGU